rnacentral:rRNA from 1 species
AUAACGGUCCUAAGGUAGCGAAAUUCCUUGUCGGGUAAGUUCCGACCCGCACGAAUGGUGUAACGAUCUGGGCACUGUCUCAACUACCCGCCCGGCGAAAUUGUAGUACCGGUGAAGAUGCCGGUUACCCGCGACAAGACGGAAAGACCCCAUGGAGCUUUACUGUAGCCUAAUAUUGGGUUUCGAUGUUGCAUGCACAGGAUAGAUGGGACACAGGGAAACAAGUGCUUUGGCAUUUGUGGAGUGGCCGUUGGGAUACCAUCCUUGCGAUAUUGGAAUUCUAACCUGCGCCUUUGAAUCAAGGCGGGGGACAUUGUUAGGUGGGCAGUUUGACUGGGGCGGUCGCCUCCUAAAGAGUAACGGAGGCGUUCAAAGGUUCGCUCAGCUUGAACGGAAAUCAAGCAAAAGAGUGCAAACGCAGAAGCGAGCCUAACUGCGAGACUGACGGGUCGAGCAGUAACGAAAGUUGGAGUUAGUGAUCCGGUGGUAUGUGAGUGGAAAUGCCAUCGCUCAACGGAUAAAAGUUACCCUGGGGAUAACAGGCUGAUCUCCCCCAAGAGUCCACAUCGACGGGGAGGUUUGGCACCUCGAUGUCGGCUCAUCGCAUCCUGGGGCUGUAUUCGGUCCCAAGGGUUUGGCUGUUCGCCAAUUAAAGCGGUACGCGAGCUGGGUUCAGAACGUCGUGAGACAGUUCGGUCCCUAUCUGUCGUGGGCGUAGGAUAUUUGAGGAGCGCUGUUCCUAGUACGAGAGGACCGGAAUGGACGCACCGCUGGUGUAUCGGUUGUCAUGCCAAUGGCACGGCCGAGCAGCUAUGUGCGGAAGAGAUAAACGCUGAAAGCAUCUAAGCGUGAAGCCCCCUCCAAGAUAAGAUAUCCCACUUUUAAGUUAAGACCCCUUGAAGACUACGAGGUUGAUAGGUUGCGUGUGUAAGUACAGUGAUGUAUUUAGCUAGGCAAUACUAAUAGGUCGAGGGCUUGACCUU